rnacentral:lncRNA from 1 species
CCACAUUCAUCCCCAUGUACACUCCGACUACUCCCCAAACCCCAAGAGGACAUAUGACGAGGCCUCGAAGAUACACCAUUGGACACACGGUGAACUCGCUCCUCUCCGAACCUUCACUUUCCACAUGUGAGACAUGGUUACUACCUCAAAUAUGUGUGCUAUGCAUGACCAGGAACAAGGAGGAAGACCAUGGACGAGCUAGCGAGGACGCCAAGUACAAGGACCAAGAGAAGGAGCUGCCGAAGAAGCUCCAGCGAGCGGACGUCCGGACGACACCGGACGACCGGCCUCUCACAGCAAGCGGACGACCGGCGCCUGAAGACCCAGCCAACGCAGGCCCCAGCGAGCGGACGUCCGGCCCGCACCGGACGACCAGCCCCACUCUCCAGCGAGCGGAUGACCGAAGACACCGGACGUCCGGCACCUGUCAACAGAGCGAAUAUUAACAGAAGUAUGAAACUUCCGGACGUCCGGUGCCCCAUUCCAGAGAGCUUCUAGCGGACGUCCGGCGACACCGAACGACCGGUCCCUCAUGAGCCACCGGACGACCGGCCCCCAGCGGACGUCCGGUACCUUUCUGCGCACAGUUUCGGGCCGAAGCCCAUGUACCCCUUCACUUCGCCCUCUUUUGCACUAAGACUAUAAAUAGGACACCCCCUCCUCCUAGUUAGGGUUAGCAUUGGAUUAGCUCAUAUUUGUGUGAGAGCCUUUGCUCAUCCACUUGGAUACUUCUCCUCGGAGAUCACAACCUCUUCGGAGAAGAUCCCCCAAGCGGAUUCAAGACCCCUUCUAGGGAAGAACAUCAAGGCCUCCUCUCGGAGAAGAAUGGUUCCUUUGUAUCCUUACCUUUGUUGACUUUGGAUCUCGUGAAUCUCUUAUGUGUGUGGUGAUCUAGCACUUGUGUGAUUGAUUCCUUGUCGGUUGAGUGAUUCUCUCUCGUUUUCCCCGUGUUUUCCCUUUGUGCUUCCGCGUGUUCUUCGUGAUUCCCCGUAGGAUCCACUCCAAACGUGAAAGAUCGACGCUAUAGGGUUCCACCCUACAUCAUCUUGGUAUCAUGAGCCAGGUUGAUCACGUUUUUGGAGCCCCUACCCCUCUUUUUCUAGCUUGAUUUUGUUGUGUUCUUCCCCAAAAUUCGAAAAUCCCCACCAAAAAUAGCCCCAAAUUUUUUUGUGAUUUGUUGGUUUGAUGAUGUUUUGUUGAUUUUGAUCCAUGGAUUUGCUUGGUUUCAAGUGGAUCUAGCAUUUCCCCAAGUUUCCCCAUCUUCCAUCCACGAAAUCUCAUCAAUUUACGGAUUUCCGACGCCCCGGACAUCCGUCCAUUUACGGACGUCCGUAACCUGUAGAUUCCCACUUCGGCUGAUUCUUGUUUCGGCCAUAACUAAUUCAUUCGAACUCCGAUUUUGACGUCCUUUAGCUCGUUUUGAAGCUCUUAACAUCCCCCAUCCCACAAAAAUACCAUCAACAUCAAUUGACUCCAUCAAAGUUUUGGAACUUUGGCAUCUUUGCCUUGGGCUUUCACCACAUCAUCCGCUACACCACCACCGACUUUCGCAACCUAACCCAUUUUGUUCCAUAUAGCAUUAGUGGUUGCUUGAGUAGUGAUUUGAGUCUCCUAAGGUGUUUCGGCUACUUAGGGACAAUUGCUUAUUCAUCAACCACCACCACCAUUUCCGCAUACGCUUGACCACCAUACACUUCCAACAACACAACUUAACCCAAUUGUUGUUUGAGCUUUUUCGAGUUGUGGCUUGUGUCUCCUAAGGUGUUUCGGCUACUUAGGGACCGUGUGCUUCCAACUCUUACACCGUGUAUAGCCCAUCAUCCCACUUCCGCAUUGCCAAGUGCAAACCACCACCGCUUUCCGCUACCACCAUUUUGUCAUUUGAGAUUUUGAGUUCGCGGUUUUUCCGUUUCCUAAGGUGUUUCGGCUACUUAGGGACGAGUCUCCAUCAUCUUGGUAUCUACAUCAAGAACGCCGCUACUCAUCAUCGCCGGACGGUAACCUCCAUAUCAUCUUGGUAUCGUGGUAUCCCUCCAUUGUAUAUUCCCCUUGCCAUUGCAUUGUUAACCCCUAGCCCAUUUUGCGUUACUUGCCUAUCGAGACUAGCCAUUUGAGUAUUGCCGGCAACGUGACUUGUGCACAUUAGUGAUCAUACUUCCCAUUGCAUACAUACCAUAUCAUAUCUUGGUAUCAUAUCUUGUGUCACAAGUUUGUUCCCGCAUAUACACAAUUGCUAUCUUGGUUUGUGCAUUGUGCAAAAGUGGCCAUAGAAAAAAAAGAGAAUAAAGCUUUUAAGCAAAAGGAAAAGAGAGAGCAAAGAAGCUUGUAAGCAAGUGCCAUAGCAUCAUACCACAUUGCAUAUAAGAUUGUCAUAUCCGAUCAUCUUGGAUCAUCUUGAGAGAAACACCGGGAACCAUACAUACAUAGCAUACUUGGGAUAGAAAGUUUAUCCAUUUUGCAUCUUAUAGGUUGUGCACAAGUGUCGUAUCCGCCUAUUGAGCAAUCGUGCUAGCGUCUAUCUUGAGUUGUGCAACACGAGCGUUUUCCGUGGAUUCCACAUUUUGUGCUCAUUCCUUGGUUGCACGACCCCAUUUAUCUAUCCGUGUGUGUGUUUCCGUGUACCAUUCUUUGCUAUUGGUCCAUUUGUUUCACUUGCGAAUUUGUGAAUCUCUUUCAACAUUAUUGACUCUUGCUAACAUUUUGCAUUAAAUUUUUGUGCCACUAUCCUCACCGAGCUCCACUAUAAGCUUUACUUGUGUAGGUGUGAGAACCGACAAGGAUUGGUACCAAUAGUGCUAUUUCAUUGUCCGCAUUUGAGUGAACUUGAUUCAUUGUCAACAUCGGUCAAGGUACAUUGGUAUAAGUUCUUCUCUUUCUCCACUCAUAUUUGCUCGAGUCUUGUGAUGGAUAGGCAAGGCAUUUCCUCUCCGGUCUACGACAACAACGACGGCGUGAACAACUACAUCUCCAAAGCGUCUAUCUUCGAUCUACAGCGACAAAUGAAAGGCGCACAAUCAAGAUUGCAAGAGCGCAUCGAGAACAUCUCCAUCGACAUUUUCCACUCCGAAGCAAGGAAAAGGGACUACAUCGACAAGAAGCUUUCCGCACAUAAAGAGGAGCAAGAUGCACGGAUGGAGGAGAUUAGAGCCUUGAUCAAGUCUUCUUCCCCUUCGUCAUCUUCAAGGCGGCGACAUUCAAGACACAAGUCUUCGGAGCGCGAAAAAGAUGCAAGUGCAAAUCGUCCUCGUCCACAUCUACAUGGCGACCACCAUCACAUUCGUGAUCAACAUCGUCAUGAAGGGCAAGUCACCUCCAAGCAUCAUGUGCACGACGACGACGAACGACAUCUACUACGAGCUCAAGCACGACAACGACAUCAUCAUCAUGAAGAUGCUCCACAAGCGCAAAUGCACAAGUCCCAACACGCCAAGUCCAAGCUUCAAGAGCACAAAAGAAGACCGCGAGACGACCACCACCAAGACGAUGCUACGGCUACACCAACCACUUUGGCAUCUUCGCCAAGUGCUAUCAAGGCAUCUUCGCCUUUGAACGUACGUCAUCUUCGCCUACUUCCCACGAGUGCACCUACAACGACUUCCUCAAGUCCAAGGCGACGACCUACGAGCGAGGGUGACACUUCCAUCUUUGGAAGCCCCUCAAGGAAGAUGGCCAAGCAUGGGAGACUCCCUUCGGUCAUGGAGACGAGCUACGAGGUGCCACAUCAUAUGGGCCUCCAACAACAAGAUGGCGACAAGAAGGUCGAGCAAGGGCCAUCCCCUCCGACCACGGCGAUAGGAGUUGAGCAUGGAGACAUUUGCACCUACAUCUCUCCGACACCCACAUAUGUCGAGAUGCCCCAAGUGCCAUGUGAGGAGAGCCACCACCACAUGAGUGACAUGAGUGACUCCACCAUACGUGACAUUGAGAGCAUUUCCUAUGAGAGGAUGAGUGUGACCACCACUAGCCCCACACAUGAGAUCAUGCCACACAUCCUAUGUGAGGUUGAGCGCCAUUUGAUUGACUCCACCAACCAUAUGAGUGAGUGCAUCCUUGAGUGAGUGAGUGAGCCACAACACUUAGAGAGUGAGGUAGUUGAGACGGCAUGUGAGGCCACUAUGAUUUCUAACGACUUAACCUCUACUCCUAGUGUGUUUUCUUCUUUGGUGCUAGGUGUCCUACAUGACGACACGCCUAUCCUUGACGAGUCCAUCCCUCCAAUGUACAAUAUGAUGGCCAUGGUGGACGAUGAUGCACCCCCCACAUGGUUCCAUCAACAUGAAGAUGACAACGAGACGAUCUUCAACACCUCACCUACAACACAUGAGCAACAAUCCAACGGUAACAUAGGUGAUGGUAGUUCUCUUGUCCCACUAGUGGACUAUCUUGACAUCGAUUGCUCCCAUGAUGUUGACCCACCUAUUACCAUGCUUCACACUAGUGAGACUUCUUCAUGCCUUGACUUACCUAUUUAUGAUGAAUAUGAUGAUGAGCAUGUUGAGUUGCCUAGUUGUGAUGCUAUGCUCCAUAGGAUAUCAUGUGAAAAUUCUAUUGGUCACUUCAUGUUUGACAAUCCAUUGAACUUGUCAUAUGCUAUGAGUGAGAUCUCCCAUAUUGCAUCAUUACAAUCUCAACAUAGUAACUAUGCAUGCCCCAUUAAAAUAAAUCCCAUUUGCACUUAUGGCAUAGAUGACGAGAUGAUGGUCAUUGGCUUUUGCUUCUCUUGUGAUGAUAUUGCCAUGCUUCCUUUACAUGAUUUACGCAAUUCAUCUAAUAUGUCAUGCCAUGAUCACAUUGUUCCAAAUAUGCAUUGUUUUGGAUGUUGUCAAUGUUCUCCACGUGAUGUUUCUACUCUUGCUCAUGAGGAGACCCCCAUAGUUUCCUCAUACAUAUUAGGAGAUCUUGAUGCAUUUCAUACUUUGCAUGAUUCCCAUGAUAGUGUACACCAUAUGCACCCCAUGAAUAACAAUGCUCUAGAUAUUGCUCGUGAUGAAUUACACAAUUUGAGUCUCCAUUAUGCUAUACAUAAUAACAAACCUAUCAUGAUGGAUGACAUGUUUCUAUAUCACGCAUCUCAUUUAUUUGAGCAUUGGCUAUUUUGUGCUAACCGACACAUACAUGUGCGCAUCAUGAUGGAUGAUGUGUACAUCUACCACGCACACACAAUUUUCCCUUUGUCUUUGUUUUGUGUAGGUACUCAUGUAUACUCGUCAACCUCUCAAUCCCAAGAGUUGACGAAAUGAGCUCUUGAGAGCAACGAUGCUUUGGGAUCCCGUGGACUAUCCUUACCACCGUUCCCUUCGCGCAAGGACUACGCACAUCUCUUUUACUUGGCUCUCACAUGGCUAUGGGCUAUUUACAACUUGUCACCUUAUGCCCAUACUAUCGUGUUCACUUUGCAUGUUAUUUUUGCUCCUAUGCCUUUGCCAUGCAAUUGUGACCCUUGCUUGCAUCUACCCAUGAUUCACCAUUAUGAUACUCCUAUGUGUAUUUGCAUGCUUGGUGGAGAUCUUUAUUACUUUUGCCAUGUUUAUCAUGUGCCUCAUGCUAUUGUUGAUCCUUGUGUUGGGAGAGUCAUGAUGUUACAUUGCUACUUACAUAGGACUUCUUGCCAACACCAUGAACCUACUUUCCUCAUAUCUUGCUUUCAUGCUUGUGCUAUGUCAUGUGAAUUAUUCAUGCCCACUAUUUGCACCAAUGACAUGCUUGCCAUGAUUCCUCCUAGUAUGUUGCAUCUUCGCACUACUACCUUGCUUGACUUGAUUGCUAGAAUUACUUGCUCCACUCUUACUCGCUUUCUUGGGUUGAUGACAUAUAUGCUCAUGCCUCUCACAUGAUAUAUCUUGAUCAUUGUCUCUUGUGUCCAUUAGUUGCCUCUUUCAUAUCCACUUGUAUUGAGUGCAACCAUACUAUGCUUAUUGAUCUUGGAGACUUUGACACCUUACUUGUGAUGCAUGCUUGUUUGAUUGAGCCUAUUGCAUUUGGUUGUUCUCGCAUCAUAUGCCUCCAUACUAUGCAAUACUCCCUUUUCCUUUCUUAUGAUGAGCAUGAUACAUACACUUGUUGGGUAUCUUACCACACGAAUGAUAGGUGCUGCAUUUGCACUAACCUUAUUUGUUUUUCCGAGUGUUUGCCAUGUUCUUUCGUUUUGAAGGAUUCACAAGGCGGUACCAUCAUGAGACAUAUUGGCUAUGUGAAGGCAUACACGAUGUGCGACACCUACAUUUUCGACAUCCUCAUAAAGGUGAACCCCUUCUCUUUGAGCCAUCCUCAAAUAUGCGUAUUGGAUGGGUCAUUCUUUCAUUGUUGUUUCCUUCUUGUUGUCUACAUGAUACAUCUCGUGAACGGAGGAGCGACAUUGGAGAUUGACUACAUGGACCUUCACAUUGAGGAACACUCGCACUUAUUGGAUGCACCUUCGAAACUCCACUCAUGCCUCGACAUUGAGCUUUGGUACACCAACACCUCCAUAUUUGUUGAUUGUGCUCAUACAUGUCAUGCUCGAUGGACUUAUCAUACUCACCACAAGUUUGCACCCCAUGCAUGGAUUGACUCACAUUAUGAUUGCCUUGUUGCAUCUUGUAUUCUCAUGUCAUCCAUGAUAUAUGAGCUUGUGCACUUCCUUAGCAAAUUUGUUGUGAUCUACCUUGAUGGCAUAUUCAUACAUCAUGAUCAUUUUGACCACCAUCAAUUGCAUGAUAACAUACACAUGUUGAGCAUCCAUUGCCAUAUUCAUGCUAUUGAUAAACCGUCUCACUAUGACAUCAUUUUGCACCGUGGUUGCAUUAAUCAUAUUUACAACACAUUUGUGUGCACAAUGAUUGCAAUUCCUCCCAUGAAUGCUUUGCAUCUCAUUCUAGAUCAUCUUGAUAAGCUUCAUGCGCUUUGUCACGACCAAUCUUACCGCACGGACUCAUUCUUACAUGAUGGACACUUUGUGCGCACUAACCAUUGUAUUUCCGAGUGUUGCUUGUGUUUGCUCUUUUUGCAUGUCUAUCACUCCGGCGACACCUUGGACUACUUGGAUUGCGCCAUGUCUUCAACUUCGUCCAACUACAAGUCCGUCUACGACAACUAUUUCCAUGGUGAUGAGGAUCACGAUCCGAGGUCGGAUCUUUCCCAAGGGGGGGGAGAUGAUGCGGAGCAUCCCACGUUCAUCCCCAUGUACACUCCGACUACUCCCCAAACCCCAAGAGGACAUAUGACGAGGCCUCGAAGAUACACCAUUGGACACAAGGUGAACUCGCUCCUCUCUGAACCUUUACUUUCCACAUGUGAGACAUGGUUACUACCUCAAAUAUGUGUGCUAUGCAUGACCAGGAACAAGGAGGAAGACCAUGGACGAGCUAGCGAGGACGCCAAGUACAAGGACCAAGAGAAGGAGCUGCCGAAGAAGCUCCAGCGAGCGGACGUCCGGACGACACCGGGCGACCGGCCUCUCACAGCAAGCGGACAUCCGGUCCUUGGCGGAUGACCGGCGCCUGAAGACCCAGCCAACGCGGGCCCCAGCGAGCGGAUGUCCGGCCCGCACCGGACGACCGACCCCACUCUCCAGCGAGCGGACGACCGAAGACACCGGACGUCCGGCACCUGUCAACAGAGCGAAUAUUAACGGAAGUAUGAAACUUCCGGACGUCCGGCGCCCCAUUCCAGAGAGCUUCCAGCGGACGUCCGGCGACACCGGACGACCGGUCCCUCAUGAGCCACCGGACGACCGGCCCCCAGCGGACAUCCGGUACCUGUCUGCGCACAGUUUAGGGCCGAAGCCCAUGUACCCCUUCACUUCGCCCUCUUUUGCACUAAGACUAUAAAUAGGACACCCCCUCCUCCUAGUUAGGGUUAGCAUUGGAUUAGCUCAUAUUUGUGUGAGAGCCUUUGCUCAUCCACUUGGAUACUUCUCCUCGGAGAUCACGACCUCUUCGGAGAAGAUCCCCCAAGCGGAUUCAAGACCCCUUAUAGGGAAGAACAUCAAGGCCUCCUCUCGGAGAAGAAUGGUUCCUUUGUAUCCUUACCUUUGUUGACUUUGGAUCUCGUGAAUCUCUUAUGUGUGUGGUGAUCUAGCACUUGUGUGAUUGAUUCCUUGUCGGUUGAGUGAUUCUCUC